rnacentral:rRNA from 1 species
UACCCGCAGCACAAGUGGUGGUCAUUAUUAUUGGGCCUAAAGCGUCCGUAGCUGGCGUGUUAGAUGCCUAGGUAAAUCGAUGCGCUCAACGUAUCGAAUUCCGGGUAGACCGGCACGCUCGAGACCGGGAGAGGUGUAGGGUACUCGGGGGGUAGGGGUAAAAUCCUGUAAUCCUCCGGGGACGACCAGUGGCGAAGGCGCUACACUAGAACGGCUCUGACAGUGAGGGACGAAGCCCUGGGGCGCAAACCGG